rnacentral:rRNA from 1 species
UACGAAGGGUGCUAGCGUUGUUCGGAAUCACUGGGCGUAAAGCGCGCGUAGGCGGCGAACCAAGUCAGGGGUGAAAUCCCGGAGCUUAACUCCGGAACUGCCUUUGAAACUGGUUUGCUAGAGUACUGGAGGGGAGUGGGGAAUUCCUAAUGUAGAGGUGAAAUUCGUAGAUAUCAAGCGGAACACCGGUGGCGAAGGCGGCCUUCUGGACAGUGACUGACGCUGAGACGCGAAAGCGUGGGGAGCAAACAGG